rnacentral:lncRNA from 1 species
ACAAAUAAACAUCUUUGAAAAAAUAUUAUGACAAAUAAUUUCCACACAAGGAAAGAGGGGUUGAGAAUGUAUAGAAUACACCUUAAUGGAGCACAUAAAAAACAGGAUGCAUAAAGUUCUCGAAAGGGUGUCUUUAGAAUUAAUAUAUUAGAUAGAAUGCAGAUCAUUGAAAUAUGAAGCAAAGCUCCAAGCAGAAAAAUGUUGAGGACAUAUAAAUAACAUAACUAGAGCCACUCUAGGGAGAUUAGAUAACUCAGCAAGAGUAAGGCAGAAUAGGCAAUGACUUAAAUGAACAUGCUAGCCAAGUAGUAACAAGUGUAAGCAUGCUAAUUACACAAAAGCAAAGUUUAGGCAUGCUAGAUGAACAGUAGUCAGUCAAACAGGCUAGUUACACACAUAAGACAUGUUAAACUAGAU